CCAGAGAAGGGGGGCACAGUUCUUGAGGCACUAGCCUGCCAUGUUUUCCCCUUUGCCUGGCAAAGAAUUAAAGCUAUCUUUCUUUUUCCUCCAUAAACUCUAUCUCUGUAUUUCUGUUCGGCAUUGGUGCAGAGAGCCAAGGCGGUUUUUUUUGGCAACAAAAUUUGGGGGCUCAUCCAGGAUAUGCUCGCGGGCAGGCAGCCCCGCAGGGCCCCUUGGCUUGAUUGGAUGCUCGGGGAUCUCUCUCCAUGCCAGCCUGCCAGCCUCCUUCAGGAGAGCGGACGGUUGGGGGAUUUCUCUGAGGCCAGAUCGCCAGGGACUCCCUGCUGCAGGGCCGUGCCCCACCUCACCCUACCAGCCGUCAUGGCUGCAGAACUCCAAAACUGUGGCGGAGAACAGGGGGGGGCCUUUGCCCUAGCAGCUGCCGAGGCUUAUUUUUAUUUUUUUAUUUUUUGCCUUAAGGACACCUUCUCUUCCCUUCCCCGCACCAGCCCGGACUUCUACUCCGAGAAGACUUUGAUCCUCUUGGAGGAUCAGAAAGAGGGCAUUUGUUAAGUCGCGACACACCCGCCAGCAUUUUGGUGGCUCCACAAUCAAAAGCCUGAGGAAUCAAAAAAAAUCUCACCUAACAUUCUAAAUGAUCCCCUUCCAACUUCAAGCAACUCUCAGGAGGGAACGAAGCUUCUGCAACUCCUGCAAGUUCCCUCACUCCUCCAGAGUCUUCUGAUCAAACUAAGACCCCACCUCCCCAGAGAAACAAGCCCUGCUAGGACAUUUUAUCAGCCAGUCUGCCCCUGUUAUUAGGGUCAAUUUGAGCACUAUUUGGUCUAUAUUUUAGCUAUGAAACUAUGCCUACAGAAAGAGAAAGAUGAUUUUUGACAGUUUGGCCACAAUAUUCUUUAGACUCCGGAGGAAAUUGGUUAAAGUAAAACUUUUUUUGAAAUUGCAAAACCAGUUCUUUUGGCAUGUGCAAUGAGAAAAAGCUAGCUUGUUGAAAUACUUUUUUUUUCAGAAUCCUGACCCUGAGAGAACACAAAUAUGCCUAGGAGAAAGCUUGAAGUUAAUUCUUACCGUGUCCUUGAGAUACAAACACAACACAGCCCACUUUGCCUGAGACUUCAGCUUUGGGUUAAUUAGUAGAACUUCAAGCAAGGGGAAAAAAAGGGGCAGAGACAUUUUAAGCCCCAAGUGGAAAACUAUGAGAUCUGUGUUUGUCUGGAUACAUGUGUAUAUCUCAGUAUGUGUCUUUGUCUUUGGAUAAUACUGCUGAGGUUAAUUUGUAAAUGAGCUCUAUUUCAUUGGUUAAAAGAAAAGUAAGUGCUUACAAAUCAAACAAUUCUAAAUACAAGAGAAAUUAAGCUAACCGAAUUCUAGGUUCUCGUGAACUGGGAAAUACUCAGUAUUAAAUUAAUACCUGGUAUUAAUGUUUCUUGAUGAAAUUAAUAUAGACAUGUCUUUAGAGUCAUCAAGUAUAAUACUUUUAUUGUGCCUAGGUUUAAUAUAAACUAAAUAAGAUCCUAUUAUAUCUGUUGCAAAUUUGUCAGCAAUGAAAGUAACUUGAUGUGAAGAAAUUUUUAAGAAAAAAUACAAAUGAGAUAAGAGCUCUGGGUAAACUUUUUAGGAAUAAGUAUGUUUUAGGAAUGUCAAUUUAAGAAUAAUCCUUCCAGAUGCCCGACAACUUGAAAAUUUAGAGUUGUGCUAAAUUAAGUUAAAUGAUGGAAGUUUAUUGAAUAACUAGGCCAUUUCCAAAUAAAAUACUGAAACAUCCCAAGGGGAGAUAUUAAACUAAUUAGGUUCAUUGGGUAUGUUAAAUUACAUGGGAAGUAUUGUCAAAUGAGUAAUAAAUCUUCUUAGGUUAUAUUGUAUGGUAAAUGUUACUAAUAUAGAUACUCUAGAAAUUAUAUGGGAUUCCUAAAGUUCUGAUAUGUCCUGGUAAAAUGUUAUCAGUCAUAAAUCCAGUUAUUAUCUUAAGGUGUUGUAUGUCACAGCAGUAGCCAAGUUACCUUGUCAAAUUACAUUACAUUGUAAUCAGAUUUUAAAUGUGUCUUCUUAAGUCUUUUAUCAUUAUAGACAGUUAUGGUUUUAUUCUGAUGCCUUUGCAAAAAUGCUUCCUCUUCAAGAAGAUUUAUAGAAAGGACUUUUAGAUAAAUACAAGCUUCUGACUUGUACUGAACUGGGUAAGAAGUAGAAAAAUUCUAGAAAAAACAUGAUGGCUUCAUAAAAAGUUAACAAAAGGACUAAAUGAACUGGUGAAUAUGGUUAUAAUUUUAUGGUUUCUAUCUGAAAAAUUACUGGUUUGAAUCUAUGUUUUCCAGGUGUGAGGAAAACCUCCCCAUCAAGCAAAUUAUGGCUUACAGUAAUUUGGUAAAUUAUACUUUUGUAAGCGGAAUUGAAACAUUUAUCUUUUCUCUCUGCCUGCUCCCUCCAGAGAUUGGAAACUCUUAGGUUCCCAACAGCUUUAUCAGAUAAAUUAGGAAGGCUACAUCACUAACAGGUACAGAAAUCUCAAGUUAUUUUGGGGACCUUGAAAAGGAAGGAAUUCACCUAGAUCUGGUAAGCGAAAUCUGUGACAAGCCCUUGGUGUGACUUUCCUAGUCCUGAGAGGUCUUUUAAAAGUUCAGUCUGAGACUCCUUAUAAAAAUUUCAGUGAGCAAAAAGUCUGUAUGAUCAAUUACAAUUAUAUAAACCAUCAGGCCAUGUUUAUUGAGACUAGACUGAAAUUUGGUUCUCUCUCUCUGUUAAGAGAACAAAAUUUUCUUGGAAUGCUGCUUUUAAUAACAGACUAUGUAAAUUUCUUUGCCUUUAAGUGAUUUGUAUUUGCUUUUAAAAUCGUUUGUUACUUUGGUAAAGUAAAUAAGUAUUAUUUCACAAUGAUCUAUGAAGAUUUUGGCACACAUAGAUUAAGUUCAUCCUGCAUCUACAAAAAUUAACCCCUCAUUGUCAGACUUUUGCUAUCCUGAUGUCUUUGUAACAUGGCAAUGGUCUACUCCUAAGUCAGAGAAUUUAACAUGAGUUAAAAAUAGCUGUAAAUCAAACAAUCAGGGCUAUGGAAAAUCCAAGACAGCUGCUUGGCUUUUUCCAGCUCCAUGACAAACCUCAUUUUUAUGUGAUGGGUUAAAGCCUUCCCUGGCUGCAGAGUUAAUGCCCUCACAAUGGAAACAAAAGAAUUAUGCUUCACUGAAUAUUAAAUUCUAGUUUUGUUAAUUAAGGUCUGUGUUUACCACGACUCACUUUCUGAUAGUUCCUUGCUGUUAUGUUAUACUGCUAAAAAGUUUAACAGAAUUAUUAAAGGACACUCUAAGUUUGUUUCUACAGCUUAUCUCAGUAAUCUAUCUUUGGAUGAAGAUCAGAUGCCCCACGACCUAUAAUCAGGGGAUUAUGCAUAUUGGAAAAGACAUAAUUUAAAGGACUAUCUCCAACCUGGAUGGAAAGACCCUUAUCAGGUAGUUUUAACUAGCUCAUUCACAGUGUAACUAAAGGGAAUUAACGCUUGGAUUAAUUUUCACUCACAAAGUGCCCCUGUACUGGACUGGCCUUUGGAGAGGAUGCCUGAUCUCAAAAUCACCUUAAAACGAUGCUCAAAUGAGGAAACUAUACUCACACCAGGAUGAAAAGAAGAUGACAAUCAGAAGUAGACAGCUUGCCCAAGAUCCCCAACCUGACUCGUAUGAUCAUUUAUAAUGUUUUCUUGACUUCUUGGACCUUUGCAUAUGAAUCAGAUGUUUUUCUAUCAUAGGUAUGAUGCUAUGCUAAUUUUGAAAUCAAUCCAAUUGUUGGGUUUGUGGCCAAUUACCUGUGUCUAGUAUUUCUGGUUUACCUGAGUGAAUUUCUCCACUCCAAGGCUCUAAUUGGUUGACUCUUAGGAAAUUUAUUUAAAGAAAAAUUAUAGUCAUGUUCAGGCCACUAUUGAUAUUACUAGAUAAGAGCCCCUCACCUGGCCAAUUUAUAAUACCUGUUCUGACCUUGGCCAUAAAGAUAAAUUUUCCUCUAUUACUCAAGUACAAUCAGAGCAACAAGCAAAAUUUCAGCCAAGAAAUAAAACCUCCCACAAUUAUGGGAUGGAUUUAUGUAGUUAACACCAGGCUAUGGUAAUUUAAGUUUAAAGGCUCCUCUAUGCUGGGAACAAUUAAAUCAUACUAAGGAUAGUCAGUCUAGUAACACUAGAAAGCUGGACUGGGUGCCUUGUGGACAAUGCCAAUAUAUAAUUUCCCUAAAAUAUAAGGAUUGGUACAGAACAGACUAAGUCAGGCGACCUGGGAUAUACUGGGUCACACCUAAUGAAGUUCUUGACUUAAAUUCUUACUUAUUACCUUACUAAUCUGCUAGCUAUAUUUUUUAUAUUGCCUGUUUUACAAAAUUGUUGUCUUUUACAUUACCAAAUGUGUGACUGAGCCUCUGAUAAAACGAUGAUAUACAGUUCCAUAUGAGAUCAAUGAUUGAAAUAGUGUAACUCUAGAUAUGGGAAGAAGCGACAAGAGGGAAUAUUUUCCUGGGCCAUAAGAGACUAGGAAGACAGGUGGUCCAGAGACUUUUGGAUGCUAGUAAAGGCCUAGUCCCGUAAUAGCACAUCGAUAGUGCUAAUAGUGGCCUAUCAGAAAAAUCUUCGCUAGACCUGGGAAUGAGCGUUCCUAGCACCAUGGGAUGAAAUGGUCAUGAAAUGCUGUCCCCAAACCAUGGUCAAAUUUAUGACCAUGAAGGGGCCCUGCUGACUAGAAAUUAGCACUUGCCAUCUACCUCUACAAAGAUUAAAUCAUGGCCACUGCAGCUAGUGGCCUUCAAUACCCCCUGAAAGCAGUUCAGGGUGGAGAUCAGGAAUGAGGCCGUCUGUGCUCUGGGAAAAACUGGCAGAACAGGCCUUCAGAUAGAUAUUUUCAGAAAAAGAUUUUCAUGAGCUCAAAUUCUUGUAUCUUCUCAUACCUAGAAAAACACUAAAGUUGUUAACGGUGACAACUGCUUUGGUUUAUAUGUUAAUACCACAUCAAAGGUUAAAACCUACUUGGAUAAACCUAGACAACUGGCUACCUGGCUACAAUUCUCCUCGAAGUGUCAGGUCUAGAUUAGGAUUCAGGGUUAUUCUCCUGAAAGAAAUAAGAUCUAUUUUGUCUAUUAAUGUUCAGGUUGUCACUCCUCCAAUUACUUCUGAGUCUGUUACACUGCCAUCAGUCACACUGGGCUAAUAAAAAGGACAUCAAAGGGGCUUCCCUGGUGGUGCAGUGGUUGAGAAUCUGCCUGCCAAUGCAGGGGACACGGGUUCGAGCCCUGGUCUGGGAGGAUCCCACAUGCCGCGGAGCAACUAGGCCCAUGAGCCACAAUUACUGAGCCUGCGCUCCGCAACAAGAGAGGCCGCAAUAAUGAGAGGCCCGUGCAUCGCGAUGAAGAGUGGCCACUGCUUGCCGCAACUAGAGAAAGCCCUCGCACAGAAACGAAGACCCAACACAGCCAUAAAUAAAUAAAUAAAUAAAUAAAUAAAUAAAUAAAUAAAAUUAAAAAAAAAAAGACAUCAAAAAUAUAUAUGACUACACCAAAUGGCUUCAUUCCUCUGGACAGGAUGACCCAAGAACUGACUCUAUCUGGACCACAAUCAAAAUUGUCAUCAAACGUAACUUGGCUCUUACUCCUGCUUUGGCCCCUGGUUAAAAUAAUUCUUUUACUGAU